rnacentral:rRNA from 1 species
AUUGAACGCUGGCGGCAGGCCUAACACAUGCAAGUCGAACGGUAACAGGAAGCAGCUUGCUGCUUUGCUGACGAGUGGCGGACGGGUGAGUAAUGUCUGGGAAACUGCCUGAUGGAGGGGGAUAACUACUGGAAACGGUAGCUAAUACCGCAUAACGUCGCAAGACCAAAGAGGGGGACCUUCGGGCCUCUUGCCAUCGGAUGUGCCCAGAUGGGAUUAGCUAGUAGGUGGGGUAACGGCUCACCUAGGCGACGAUCCCUAGCUGGUCUGAGAGGAUGACCAGCCACACUGGAACUGAGACACGGUCCAGACUCCUACGGGAGGCAGCAGUGGGGAAUAUUGCACAAUGGGCGCAAGCCUGAUGCAGCCAUGCCGCGUGUAUGAAGAAGGCCUUUCGGGUUGUAAAGUACUUUGCAGCGGGGAGGAAGGCGAUAAGGUUAAUAACCUUGUCGAUUGACGUUACCAACAGAAGAAGUACGCUAAAUA